AUUGAACGCUGGCGGCAUGCUUUACACAUGCAAGUCGAACGGUAGAGGGGGCAACCCCUUGAGAGUGGCGAACGGGUGAGUAAUGCAUCGGAACGUGCCCAGUCGUGGGGGAUAACGCAGCGAGAGCUGUGCUAAUACCGCAUACGAUCUCUGGAUGAAAGCGGGGGACCGAAAGGCCUCGCGCGAUUGGAGCGGCCGAUGUCAGAUUAGGUAGUUGGUGGGGUAAAGGCUCACCAAGCCAACGAUCUGUAGCUGGUCUGAGAGGACGACCAGCCACACUGGGACUGAGACACGGCCCAGACUCCUACGGGAGGCAGCAGUGGGGAAUUUUGGACAAUGGGCGCAAGCCUGAUCCAGCAAUGCCGCGUGCAGGAAGAAGGCCUUCGGGUUGUAAACUGCUUUUGUACGGAACGAAAAGGUCUGGGUUAAUACCCUGGGCACAUGACGGUACCGUAAGAAUAAGCACCGGCUAACUACGUGCCAGCAGCCGCCGUAA
rnacentral:rRNA from 1 species